rnacentral:rRNA from 1 species
AUGGCGACGACCAGCAACAAGAAAAUGGCGUCGCCGUCGCCUAUGCCGGACAUGCCCGACCAGCUCCUCGCCGAGAUAUUCCUCCGGCUGCCCACCCCACAAGACCUCGCCCGCGCCUCCGCCGUCUGCCUCACCCUCCGCCGAAUCUCCACCGACAGGUCCUUCCUCCGCUGCUUCCGCUGCCUCCACGCACCACCGCUUCUCGGAUUCCUCGACCGCGACGGCUUCCACCCAGCCCUACCCUCCACCCCCGCCGUCCGCGCGGUCGCCGCCGCCGCCGAUUUCACCUUCUCCUUCCUCCCCUACCACCGCCGCUGGACCGUGCAGGACGUCCGCGACGGCCGCGUCCUCCUCUCCCGCAGCACCGGGAAACAUGGGCAGCCCCCGGUCUUCAGAGAUCUCGCGGUGUGCGACCCCUUGCACCGGCGCUACGUCCUGCUCCCCCCGCUACCUCACGACCUAGCUGCUUUGCUUGGGCACCCAUUCCCCCCGGUAACCGAGGCCUGCUGCAAGCGCUUCCUCGUUCCCCUCGGCGAGGAGGAGGCAGCGGCUGGAGACACAACAUUCAGAGUCAUCUUGAUGGCGUAUUGCAAAACCAGUCUGGCCGCCUUUGUCUUCUCUUCCAGCAACGAUCGAUGGCGAGCUACUGCAUCCAAGGAUUUGAGUGAUUUGGCCCUUGACGAGGGCGACAUGGAGGAGAUGUCAAGGGUCCAGCCUUUUAUUCCCAUGCGCCAUUAUGCUUAUGGCUGUUUCUACUGGGAUUGGGUGCAAUUCGGGAUGAAGAAGUUGCUCUUGCUUGACACCACCGACAUGGAGUUCUCCGCUGCUGACCUCCCACCAGGAGAAUGGAGCAAGGAAGGUAUAGCCAUUGUGGAGGCAGGGGAAGGCAGGCUCGGGAUCUUUGGUUUCCGUGGUGAACCUGCAUCCAGUCUCAGCUAUACCGCUGCACGGACCAAAGGCGAGAGUCCCAGCCAGUGGCAGAUGGAGAAGACAAUCUCACUAGAUUCUGGCUACAAAUAUUGUAUCAGAGAUGCAACACAGAGGUACUUGCUCUUGACAAGGAUAGAAGCAUCAUCUCUAAAUAAUCACCUUGUUGGAUAUUUCUCAAUGGAUAUCAAGACGUUGGAGCUUCAGAGGGUUUAUGAGAAACAACACUACUCUAAGUAUCAGACAUACACAUAUGUCAACUUCCCACCAUCAUUGUUGUCUUCAAGGAGAAUAUGA